rnacentral:rRNA from 1 species
GCUACGUUCGGAACUGAUAAGCGCUGAAAGCAUCUAAGCGCGAAGCAGGCCUCGAGAUGAGUUCUCACUAGACUUUUAAAGUCUCUGAAGGGCCGUUGAAGACUACAACGUUGAUAGGCAGGAUGUGGAAGUGGUGCGAGCCAUUAAGCUAACCUGUACUAAUUACCCGUGAGGCUUAACCAUACAACGCCAAACGCGUUU